rnacentral:rRNA from 1 species
AUGCACGCUGGCGGCGUGCCUAAUCCAUGCACGUCGAGCGAACGUACGAGAAGCUUGCUUCUCUGAUGUUAGCGGCGGACGGGUGAGUAACACGUGGAUAACCUACCUAUAAGACUGGGAUAACUUCGGGAAACCGGAGCUAAUACCGGAUAAUAUUUUGAACCGCAUGGUUCAAAAGUGAAAGACGGUCUUGCUGUCACUUAUAGAUGGAUCCGCGCUGCAUUAGCUAGUUGGUAAGGUAACGGCUUACCAAGGCAACGAUGCAUAGCCGACCUGAGAGGGUGAUCGGCCACACUGGAACUGAGACACGGUCCAGACUCCUACGGGAGGCAGCAGUAGGGAAUCUUCCGCAAUGGGCGAAAGCCUGACGGAGCAACGCCGCGUGAGUGAUGAAGGUCUUCGGAUCGUAAAACUCUGUUAUUAGGGAAGAACAUAUGUGUAAGUAACUGUGCACAUCUUGACGGUACCUAAUCAGAAAGCCACGGCUAACUACGUG